rnacentral:rRNA from 1 species
CAGUCGCUGUAAGAUGAGCUUGCGUCCGAUUAGCUAGGAGUGGGGGCGUGCCUACGAAGGCGAGGAUCGUUAGCGGGGCAUGCAGAAGGCGUGUGACGGGCGCAACACCCUGGCACUGUUGAGGAACGAACGGGUUCCCGAGCAACUACCCUGAACGGCGUAGGGCACGACCGAGUUGCCGGGAAUUCUCUGACAGCGAGAUGGCGACGCAAGAGCGCGUGAAUGUCUAUGCCGUACUGAUGGGGCUGUGGGUAGUCGCAUGAACAGCGUACGUCCCUCCACGGUCACCUUGUGCUGAUAGAGCGAUCUGCAUGGUAUAAGUACGCUCGCGUGUAGAGGGAUCAAGUGAUCUACGUCUCGGCGUAUUUCAGAAAUAUACGAGUGUGCUGACGAGAAGUGCUUAUUGAACC